rnacentral:rRNA from 1 species
UACGAACUGUGCGAACGUUAUUCGGAAUCACUGGGCUUACAGGGUGCGUAGGCGGCUCAACAAGUCAGGUGUGAAAGCCCUCGGCUCAACCGGGGAACUGCGCUUGAAACUGUUAGGCUCGAGUCAGCUAGAGGUACACGGAACUUCCAGUGGAGCGGUGAAAUGCGUAGAUGUGCGGAGGAACACCGAUGGCGAAGGCAAUCCCCUGGGCCUGCACUGACGCUCAUGCACGAAAGCGUGGGGAGCAAACAGG